rnacentral:rRNA from 1 species
GAUGAACGCUGGCGGCGUGCCUAAUACAUGCAAGUCGAGCGAACAGACGAGGAACUUGCUCCUCUGACGUUAGCGGCGGACGGGUGAGUAACACGUGGAUAACCUACCUAUAAGACUGGGAUAACUUCGGGAAACCGGAGCUAAUACCGGAUAACAUGUUGAACCGCAUGGUUUAACAGUGAAAGACGGUCUUGCUGUCACUUAUAGAUGGAUCCGCGCCGCAUUAGCUAGUUGGUAAGGUAACGGCUUACCAAGGCAACGAUGCGUAGCCGACCUGAGAGGGUGAUCGGCCACACUGGAACUGAGACACGGUCCAGACUCCUACGGGAGGCAGCAGUAGGGAAUCUUCCGCAAUGGGCGAAAGCCUGACGGAGCAACGCCGCGUGAGUGAAGAAGGUCUUCGGAUCGUAAAACUCUGUUAUUAGGGAAGAACAAAUGUGUAAGUAACUAUGCACGUCUUGACGGUACCUAAUCAGAAAGCCACGGCUAACUACGUG